AACGAACGCUGGCGGCAUGCCUAACACAUGCAAGUCGAACGAGACCUUCGGGUCUAGUGGCGCACGGGUGCGUAACGCGUGGGAACCUGCCCUUAGGUUCGGAAUAACCCCCCGAAAGGGGUGCUAAUACCGGAUAAUGUCUUCGGACCAAAGAUUUAUCGCCUUUGGAUGGGCCCGCGUUGGAUUAGCUAGUUGGUAGGGUAAAAGCCUACCAAGGCGACGAUCCAUAGAUGGUCUGAGAGGAUGAUCAGCCACACUGGGACUGAGACACGGCCCAGACUCCUACGGGAGGCAGCAGUGGGGAAUAUUGGACAAUGGGCGAAAGCCUGAUCCAGCAAUGCCGCGUGAGUGAUGAAGGCCUUAGGGUUGUAAAGCUCUUUUACCCGGGAUGAUAAUGACAGUACCGGGAGAAUAAGCUCCGGCUAACUCCGUG
rnacentral:rRNA from 1 species